rnacentral:rRNA from 1 species
AUUGAACGCUGGCGGCAGGCCUAACACAUGCAAGUCGAACGAGUGGCGGACGGGUGAGUAAUGUCUGGGAAACUGCCUGAUGGAGGGGGAUAACUACUGGAAACGGUAGCUAAUACCGCAUACCCUCAGAUGUGCCCAGAUGGGAUUAGCUAGUGGGUGGGGUAACGCCUCCCCAAGGCGACGAUCCCUAGCUGGUCUGAGAGGAUGACCAGCCACACGGGAACUUGGACAAGGUCCAGACUCCUACGGUAGGCAGCAGUGGGGAAUAUUGCACAAUGGGCGCAAGCCUGAUGCGGCCAUGCCGCGUGUAUGAAGAAGGCCUUCGGGUUGUAAAGUACUUUCAGCGGGGAGGCGUUACCCGCAGAAGAAGCACCGGCUAACUCCGUGCCAGCCGCCGCGGUAAUUC